rnacentral:rRNA from 1 species
GAUUGAACGCUGGCGGUAUGCUUAACACAUGCAAGUCGAACGGAAACGAUACUAGCUUGCUAGUAGGCGUCGAGUGGCGGACGGGUGAGUAACGCGUAGGAAUCUGCCUGAUAGUGGGGGAUAGCCCGAAGAAAUUCGGAUUAAUACCGCAUAAUCUAUUCGUAGUAAAGUGGGGGACUUUCGAGCCUCACGCUAUCAGAUGAGCCUGCGUAAGAUUAGCUUGUUGGUAGGGUAAAAGCCUACCAAGGCGACGAUCUUUAGCUGGUCUGAGAGGAUGAUCAGCCACAUCGGGACUGAGACACGGCCCGAACUCCUACGGGAGGCAGCAGUGGGGAAUAUUGGACAAUGGGGGCAACCCUGAUCCAGCAAUACCGCGUGUGUGAAGAAGGCCUGAGGGUUGUAAAGCACUUUCAAUUGUGAAGAAAAGUUAACGGUUAAUAACCGUUAGCCUUGACGUUAACUUUAGAAGAAGCACCGGCUAACUCCGUGCCAGCAGCCGCGGUAAUACGGAGGGUGCAAGCGUUAAUCGGAAUUACUGGGCGUAAAGCGUGCGUAGGCGGUUUAUUAAGUCAGAUGUGAAAGCCCCGGGCUUAACCUGGGAACUGCAUUUGAAACUGGUCAACUAGAGUAUGGUAGAGGAAAGUGGAAUUUCUGGUGUAGCGGUGAAAUGCGUAGAUAUCAGAAGGAACAUCAAUGGCGAAGGCAGCUUUCUGGACCAAUACUGACGCUGAGGUACGAAAGCGUGGGUAGCAAACAGGAUUAGAUACCCUGGUAGUCCACGCCGUAAACGAUGAUAACUAGCCGUUGGGGGGAUUUACCCUUUAGUGGCGAAGCUAACGCGUUAAGUUAUCCGCCUGGGGAGUACGGCCGCAAGGUUAAAACUCAAAGGAAUUGACGGGGACCCGCACAAGCGGUGGAGCAUGUGGUUUAAUUCGAUGCAACGCGAAGAACCUUACCUGGUCUUGACAUCCUGCGAACUUUCUAGAAAUAGAUUGGUGCCUUCGGGAACGCAGUGACAGGUGCUGCAUGGCUGUCGUCAGCUCGUGUCGUGAGAUGUUGGGUUAAGUCCCGUAACGAGCGCAACCCCUAUCCUUAUUUGCCAGCACAUCAUGGUGGGAACUAUAAGGAGACUGCCGGUGAUAAACCGGAGGAAGGCGGGGACGACGUCAAGUCAUCAUGGCCCUUACGACCAGGGCUACACACGUGCUACAAUGGGAAGGACAAAGAGCCGCGAAGCCGCGAGGUGUAGCUAAUCUCAUAAACCUUUUCGUAGUCCGGAUUGGAGUCUGCAACUCGACUCCAUGAAGUCGGAAUCGCUAGUAAUCGUAGAUCAGAAUGCUACGGUGAAUACGUUCCCGGGUCUUGUACACACUGC